rnacentral:rRNA from 1 species
UUGACCUCGAAUCAGGUAGGAAUACCCGCUGAACUUAAGCAUAUCAAUAAGCGGAGGAAAAGAAACCAACCGGGAUUACCUCAGUAACGGCGAGUGAAGCGGUAACAGCUCAAAUUUGAAAUCUGGCUCUUCCGGAGUCCGAGUUGUAAUUUGUAGAAGAUGCUUUGGGUGGUKGGUUCGGCCUAAGUUCCUUGGAACAGGGCGUCAUAGAGGGUGAGAAUCCCGUAUGUGGCCGAGGCCCGCGCCUAUGUAAAGCUCUUUCAACGAGUCGAGUUGUUUGGGAAUGCAGCUCAAAAUGGGUGGUAAAUUUCAUCUAAAGCUAAAUAUGGGCCAGAGACCGAUAGCGCACAAGUAGAGUGAUCGAAAGAUGAAAAGCACUUUGGAAAGAGAGUUAAACAGUACGUGAAAUUGUUGAAAGGGAAGCGCUUGCAACCAGACUUGGGCGCUGUCGAUCACCCCGAGUUCUCUCGAGUGCACUCGACAGCGCACAGGCCAGCAUCGGUUCGGGUGGCUGGAUAAAGGCCGUAGGAACGUGGCUCCCUUCGGGGAGUGUUAUAGCCUACGGUGCCAUGCAGCCCAGCCGGACCGAGGACCGCGCCUUCGGGCUAGGAUGCUGGCGUAAUGGUUGUAAGCGACCCGUCUUGAAACACGGACCAAGGAGUCUAACAUCUAUGCGAGUGUUUGGGUGGUAAACCCAUACGCGGAAUGAAAGUGAACGUAGGUGAGAACCCCU